UUAAUUUUGGAUCAGUGUUAUGACUUGGUGAAACCGUCUCUGACUCAGAGAGCAGGAGAAGCUCCAAAGCCAGUGUGGAUAUUGACCGGCCUUUCCGGAAGGAAGGACGGCCUGGGAAAUCUCAGCGAAGAAAUCUGCCUGAGAUUGCAGAGUUCAUAAAAUCAUCAUUGGAAUUCAUCAGCUUCAUGGCUCAGCACACAGACAAAAUGUUGCACCCCAGUAAUAAACAUGUUUCACAGUCCAUUGGACUAACACACUAACCUUGAUUAAAAUUCUGAGACGAAUAAUGUUUCAUCCAUCUCAGUUAAUGAUACAUACAAUUCGAUUCCUCCCCGCCCCCCUUUUUUCAUAGAUUAAUCAUUAAAAAGUAUAUUAGCAACAACAACGCUCACUCAAUAAAUAAGUGCCACACAACAAAUAAAAGUCUUGACCGGAAGUGUGUUCGACUUCCGGUAUACAUAUACUUGACUUUGUGCUUCACCGGCUCAUUUUAAUCAGCAAUACGGCAUUUGUGGGCGCUACUUGUAGCUCGUGUCAAUGAUACAUGAGGAAGCGUGUGCGUAUCCUUCACGGAAACGCGUUAUUCCAAGGAGCACUUGAACACACCAUUUCAAAUGAAUAACCGCUUCAUUCUCAUGAGAAAAGAAUAGUAAAUAAACGACGUUUUUAAAACGAGUUUUGUCCGUGGGUUAAGUCACAGCAAUUCUUAACUAAAGUCACAAAGCGAUCGUUUUUGAUUCCGCGUAUUGAAAGCGUCCUGUUCGCCGUGACGUCAUCCGUCCGCUCAAAACCUCGCGGUCCCUCCCUCGCCUGCACCCGCGGACGCGCUCAUCCGCGACCACCUGCGUGACAUGCCCGCGUUUGUGGACGACCCGUCUCAGCUCUCCAUAUCUCAGCUCAAGUCGGAUCUGAUCGCCCACAAUGUGGCGCUGCCUCCGUCGAAGAGCCGGAAGCAGGUGUACGUGGAGCUGCACCUGAAACACGUCGAGCAGAGGAAAGCGCAGUUCUCCAGCGACGAGGAGGAGCAGCAGCAGCAGAGUGGUCCAGAGGAUGGCGAAACCAUUGUGGACCCCAGUGUCUUGACUGAUGAUGACCUUAAAGCUGCGUUGUUGGCACAUGGGGUCACACCUGGGCCCAUUGUAGCUUCCACAAGGUCUGUGUACGAGAACAAGCUCCGAAAACUGCUUCAGCCUGUCGAAACUCAGCGAGUUAAUGGUGUGGUGGAAAGUGAGUGGUGCUUUGACAGUGAAGAAGAAGAAGAGGAGGAGGAGCUGGAUGAUGAUCAAGAAUUAGGUUCAAGAGGAAGCACACAAACCGAGGUGGAGGAGCAGGGACAGUUGCGUGAUCAGGGGGAUGAUUAUCUUUAUCCCCAGUGUUUUAUGCCUUCAUCACGACUGCGACCUCAUGCAUCGGGAGCCAGGGAGCAGGCACCCAAGCGGGAUUUAGGGAAUGCUAUGACAUCGAGUGGUUCAGCGCUUCAAGGGAUUAGGAGAACAUCCUCAGUAGCUCCUCCGCUAGGCACAGGAUUAGUGGUGUCAUCCAGAGCAGCGUCCACUGCUCCCACUUCUCCUGCAAAGUUCUUCAGUAUAACUGAAAUGGUCAAGGAGGAAAGUAUCACAUAUAAAUCCACUGUCUUUGUGGUCAAUAUUCUCGGGGCGGGGGGGAAACUCGCGCUGAUGUAAUUUCGCCUUAUGGUCGGCAGAUGGAGACAAAGAAGUCAUUAUCAAGCGUAGCGAGUGAGACGCCUGAGGCCAAUGCUCCAGGGCGUCGGUCACAGUCCAGCAGGGUCAGUAGUGCACUUCUUGUUCAGUGACACGCCGCGUUGUACUUGAAGAGACUCUUCAGAGGAGUGAAUUACACCGUAAUCUUGAUUGUCUCCAUAGACCGAAGUAUCAUACACAGCCAAGACGGAACAGUCUGUAUACUACACUCCCAAGUUUCGCCUUCAGCAGGAUUUAAAGGCAAAUCUUUUCCUGGUUGUCACUCAAAAAUUGUUUUUCUCAGCACCGGGCACCACGUCUUCUUGGGCUGGCUGGUUUUAUUCCACUGACCUUUUUCGUCUUGCUCCACAGCACUCGGGUGUCUUGCAAUGAUGCCAUUGUCUUUGCUGCGUACUAUAUUUCUCUUAUCAAUUUUAGGAGCCCUCGAGUCCUCUUACGCACUUGGUCCCUGAUCUCCAGACCACGCCAUCUGGAAUCUAUGCAACUCGUCGGCGGCCCAUCAGGGGAGCUUCCCAAAGGCCCGUCCUGUACGACUACCCCGACGCCCCGCUCAGUCCCGUCACCAGAGC